UAGGGAAUCUUCCGCAAUGGACGCAAGUCUGACGGAGCAACGCCGCGUGAGUGAAGAAGGAUUUCGGUUCGUAAAACUCUGUUGUUAGAGAAGAACAGCGCAUAGAGUAACUGUUAUGCGUGUGACGGUAUCUAACCAGAAAGCCACGGCUAACUACGUGCCAGCAGCCGCGGUAAUACGCAGGUGGCAAGCGUUGUCCGGAUUUAUUGGGCGUAAAGCGAGCGCAGGCGGUCAAUUAAGUCUGAUGUGAAAGCCCCCGGCUCAACCGGGGAGGGUCAUUGGAAACUGGUUGACUUGAGGGCAGAAGGGGAGAGGGGAAUUCCAUGUGGAGCGGUGAAAUGCGUAGAUAUAUGGAGGAACACCAGUGGCGAAGGCGACUCUCUGGUCUGUAACUGGCGCUGAGGCUCGAAAGCGGGGGUAGCAAACAGG
rnacentral:rRNA from 1 species